CAAGCCCUGCCUGUCCGAAGUCUGACGUUAUGCGUCAGAUACUCAUGUAGGCCAGGUGGGGUUCU
rnacentral:ncRNA from 1 species